rnacentral:lncRNA from 1 species
GCUGUACUCCACCACUAAAUCAGUAAAAAGACAAGCACUAUGUAAUUGCUACCAUCAACAUAUGAAUCCUGUCUGCUUAGUAGAUCUACCACCUCAUUGAGAGUCAACAGAUAAGAUGAUGAAGAGGUACAUGUGAUAUUGAUGAGACAGAGAUUUUAUACCCAGGUUUGAGGUGUAUGUCUGUAUGUCAUCAGACAAAUUAAACUAACAGACAACCAUAAAUGGUAAAAUAUAUAACUCUGUGCAGCCACAUACAGUUCUGGUACACGAUGGUCGCUGGUUAUAAACAGAAUAAAGACAUAUUUGAAAUUAUUUUGUUGUUAGAAACAGCACUCAAAAUUUUAAACAGC